GCUGAAUUUAGAAAUCAUUUGACCUGUUUGCUGAGGAAAAACGACUUCUGUUGAAAAGACACCAUUCAGGUGUUAUAAAACCAGUGUCUAGUGAUACCAUAUCUGACGAGACCAUGAGCCCAGUGAUGGAGUCUGCCAAGGGCUUUGUGCUUGGAGCCAUGGCUGGAGGUACUCUGGGAGCCACAGAGGUACCGCUGAAUCAAAUUAUGUCACAGAUAAUCUCAGGUGCCCAAAUGAAGCCCGUUAUGUCUGGCGUUAAGAGCAUCGGGGCUCUGGGACUGGGUGCACUUCUAGGAACUACUGCACUCAUCACAUCAAUGGCAUUGGUGGUAACGGGGGUCACUGUAGCUGCUUCUGUGGCCUUGUGUCUAUUGAGAUUGAGGAAGAAUGAAGGAUGGGUGGCAGCAGGAUUGGCCGCGGCUCUCACCACGACUUCAAGCGGGGCAGCACUAGGGACCAUCAUUGAAAAUCUGAGCAUGAGCUACGGGAUGGUCAGCCUGCUCUGGGCUUUGGGGAUUUUUACAGUUCUGAAACUAUUGAUGCACUUCUUUGUCAAGCAUACAUGCACAGAACGGGAAUUCUGUGGAUCAAUCGCUGAUGCUACUAAGAGAGAACAAGCAAGACUACUUGCUUUGGAAAUAGAUCUAAGACGGCGGGCUGCAUUGGAAUUGGAAAAGCGGAUUGAGGCCUGCGAGAUGAAGAAACCAGAAGAGGAUGGUCUGGCUGCUUGGGAGGCCCAACGAAGAGAAAGAGAAGAAAUAAAGAGACAGCAAAGGAAGGCUGUUGAGUUGGAAAUGCAGCAGAGGACUUCUCGACAACGCCUGCUGAACGCGGUGGCCAAAUACAUGGAGUUUCUUGCAUUUUCUGACAUUCCGAUGACUGUGACUGCUUUUGUGACUGCUGGCUUUGGCAUCUUUGGCUUUGGAGAUUACAGAUUUGUUUUUGUUGUCCUGUUAGUCAUGGUGUUAUGCAUGUCAUUUUGGCUCAUGAGUUCUUGGCGUUUGAACUUUUGGAUGCUAAUGGGAUGCAUGGGAAUGUUUGCCACAUUUGCCAUUGCCGUGCUGACUGUUCAUGCCGGGCAGGAGGUGGCAGGCAUGUCUGUCAAAAUGCGCUUUGCAGGACAAAACAUGAGCAAGGAGAACAUCAGCAUCCGUAUGACUCAUGCAUCCUCCGUACAGGCAAUUUCUGCAGGAUUCUUUGUCUCAGAAGUCUGUCAGGUUGGUUUAGGGGCCACAGUCGGUGGUCCAGUGGCACGAGAGGCAGGAGGAAAGGUGAUUUUGGGGGCGUCUGUAACCGCUGUGGUUGUUUUGUCGAUAGUUGAAGCGUCGACACAGAUGCUGGGAGUCGGUGGUAAGGCGGGGGCUUUGCUGGGGGCGGCUGGAGCUGCUGGUGUGUCCAUGGGAGGCGCUGCAGCCAUAGCUGUGAAAUCAUCCACAUGGGGAGGAACAAUGGGAACCACUGCUGGGAUGAUCUUUGGCUUAUUGGUGUUUAGAAAGUGGGACAUUGUUAACAUAGGGCUUCAGAUAUUUGUGGCAUACCUGUUUGCCAUGACAAAUCUUUACUGAAAUGCUAUGAUGUAACUGCUCUUUUUAGUAUGGUACUACAGUGGGCAUGGAAAGAAUCAGCAUCAAUAAAAUUGCUUCCUUCUUUUUCUGUUCUCACUAUAUAAAAUGUUUUGUUCUCUAUAUUUGCUCUCUCUCUCUCUCUCUCUCUUUAUAUAUAUAUAUAUAUAUAUAUAUAUAUAUAUAUAUAUAUAUAUAUAUAUAUGUUUUUUUGUGUACUUUUUUUGACCAUUAUUUCAUAUAUCAGGCUUCACAGGGUUAAAACAGGAUUAAAUUUUUUAAUAGGCAAAAAAAAAACAUUUAAGUAGUGUAGAAAUAAGGGAAAGGUAACAACUUUACUAAACAGAACUCUAUAAAUUAAGAUAAUACAAAUGAACAAUAAGAGACUAUAGUGACAGCUGUCAAAUAUUAAAAUGAAUUUGUCAGAAUCAAAAUUUCCCAGUGAGAAAAAUGGUGUGAAUGACUUUGUGUAUGUAAAUAACAAUAUGCAGUUAUUUUGGUCAUUAUUGUAAAACAAACGCUACAUGUUGUGCCUGUACUUAUUGACCUAAUUAUAUGCUACUUUCUUUCCACUUUCUGUUUCAUAUUUUUUAAUUUCCUCUUACCUUUUAAAGGGUUGAUCCCAAUCAGGAGAUGCAAUGUUUGCUUUUGAAAUCAUUUGUACUUUUUAUUAAAAUACUUUUAUUUCAUUUGGUCUGCUUUUUGUUAUUUCGAUAUGUUGUUUGGUAUAAAACUAUUUUAUUGUAUGUUUGCACAUGACCACACUCGUCACACAGCUAUAGAAUACCAUAUGUA
ensembl:lncRNA